UACAGAGGGGGCAAGCGUUGUUCGGAAUUACUGGGCGUAAAGGGCGCGUAGGCGGCGCACCAAGUCAGGCGUGAAAGCCCUGGGCUCAACCCGGGAAUUGCGCUUGAGACUGGUGUGCUUGAGUACGGGAGAGGAUAGUGGAAUUCCCAGUGUAGAGGUGAAAUUCGUAGAUAUUGGGAAGAACACCGGUGGCGAAGGCGGCGUCCUGGACCAACACUGACACUGAUGAGCGAAAGCCAGGGGAGCAAACGGG
rnacentral:rRNA from 1 species